CCGGAUUUACUGGGCGUAAAGGAUGCGUAGGUGGAUAUUUAAGUGGGAUGUGAAAUACCCGGGCUUAACUUGGGUGCUGCAUUCCAAACUGGAUAUCUAGAGUACAGGAGAGGAAAGUGGAAUUCCUAGUGUAGCAGUGAAAUGCGUAGAUAUUAGGAGGAACACCAGUGGCGAAGGCGACUUUCUGGACUGUAACUGACACUGAGGCAUGAAAGCGUGGGGAGCAAACAGGAUUAGAUACCCUGGUAGUCCACGCCGUAAACGAUGGGUACUAGGUGUGGGAGUUGUCAUGACUUCCGUGCCGUCGUUAACACAGUAAGUACCCCGCCUGGGGAGUACGAUCGCAAGAUUAAAACUCAAAGGAAUUGACGGUGGCCCGCACAAGCAGCGGAGCAUGUGGUUUAAUUCGAAGCAACGCGAAGAACCUUACCUAGACUUGACAUCUCCUGAAUUACCCGUAAUGGGGGAAGCUCUUCGGAGCAGGAAGACAGGUGGUGCAUGGUUGUCGUCAGCUCGUGUCGUGAGAUGUUGGGUUAAGUCCCGCAACGAGCGCAACCCUUAUCAUUAGUUGCUACCACUAAGUUGAGCACUCUAGUGAGACUGCCCGGGUUAACCGGGAGGAAGGUGGGGAUGACGUCAAAUCAUCAUGCCCCUUAUGUCUAGGGUUACACACGUGCUACAAUGGUAGGUACAACAAGAUGCAAGACCGCGAGGUGGAGCAAAACUGUAAAACCUAUCCCAGUUCGGAUUGAAGGCUGAAACUCGCCUUCAUGAAGCCGGAGUUGCUAGUAAUCGCGAAUCAGCAUGUCGCGGUGAAUACGUUCCCGGGCCUUGUACACACCGCCCGUCACACCAUGAGAGUUAGCAAUACCCGAAGUCCGUGAGGUAACCGUAAGGAGCCAGCGGCCGAAGGUAGGGCUAGCGAUUGGGGUG
rnacentral:rRNA from 1 species